rnacentral:rRNA from 1 species
GAUGAACGCUAGCGGCAGGCCUAAUACAUGCAAGUCGAACGGUGUCUUCGGACAUAGUGGCGCACGGGUGCGUAACACGUAUGCAACCUACCUUACAUUGGGGGAUAGCCUUUCGAAAGGGAGAUUAAUACCGCAUAAGACAGUAGCUGGGCAUCCAGCAGCUGUUAAAGAUUUAUCGAUGUAAGCUGGGCAUGCGUCCAAUUAGCUAGUUGGUGAGGUAACGUCUCACCAAGGCAAUGAUUGGUAGGGGAACUGAGAGGUCAAACUCCCACACGGGAGCUGGGCAGCGAGCCAGGCUCCGACGGGGGGCGGCAGUAGGGAAUAUUGGGCAAUGGACGCAAGGCUGACCCGGCCAUGCCGCGGGCAGGAUGAAGGCGUUAUGCGUUGUAAACUGCUUUUAUACAGGAAGAAGCGAGUCUUGCGAGAGGCAUUGACGGUACUGUAUGAAGAAGCACCGGCUAACUCCGUGCCAGCAGCCGCAGUAACAC